ACAUAAUGACGAUAUCAUUUUCCCUCUUCCGCUCUUCCACUUCACCAUAGUCGUUGCCGAUUCUUCAAAUCACUGUUUCUUUUGGAUUUAUUACAAUCUACUCUCAAUCAUUCAAUCGAGAUCUUUACUCUUAUCUUGAUGAGCCAAUGCUAUCCGUCCACCUCCCUUUUAUGACUCCUUCUCUUAUAUAAAUCCUUUCGUAGACGAGCCUGCUAUGUACUUUACUCCGCUUGUAAUUUUUUUUUAUACCCGUCGAAGCCAUGGCCUCAAAUCCAGACGGAUCAAAAUUAAUUAUCGUCAUGAAUCAAUGCUGUCUUCCACUACCUCCAUACAUAAGUUGAUGACUCCUUCCAGAGUUAAGACUUAUCCUCACACCAGGUUUCCGCCGGCUGGCCUACGUGGCUGACAAGCGUCUCUGGCGAAGCUAUACUCGGUCGGGUUCAAUUUCGAUCCGAUACUUUUGAAAAGAGAUUGAUUUCAGAUUUUCCCUUUUCAUAACACUAAUAGCAACCAUGAAUGGUAAAGGCAGCGAAAAGCAGGAACAUACCACCAUGAUGGUUUUCAUGGACAGAGAUUAUACGAAGAAGAAAGUUUGAAGCUUAGUAGCUGAGUAGCUGAGUCUUCGAAGUUUCUGUACGCCCUUCCGGUGACUAAAGACAAGGGCAUUAUGAGACAUGCCUGGCCUCAAAAGAUGUCAAGUCCUUUGAUUUGCCAAAAAAGAAGCUCAUGCUAAGAUUAGAUACAUUCGGAAUAAAGACUAACGAAGAGGUAAAUCUAUACAAUGAAAAAAAAUUUAGAGAUUGACUUUGUUGAACAACAAUGAAAAAUUUAUGUUGGUCAAAGGUCAUUGUUAAUACUCGGAGAAACUACAUGGAUGGUCAUAUAUCCCAGUUGUGACCUCUUUGUUUGAAGAUCCAAAAUACGCAUCAGACAUAUAGGAUAUACUAAAACAUGAUACACUUCCUUCACCAAACACAUCAACAUCAAUAUUUCAACACAAGGUGAUCUCUCCCUCGCCAACUGAGUUUACAGCUUUCGGACAAUUAUAAACAUUUUAUGAACUUCCCUUUUUUUGGGUACCGUGGCCUUUUUUUGGGUAUCGUGGAUAAUUUACGGCCACGAGAAAGAGCAUUCUUUCUCUUCGACGUUGCACACAUGCUUCAUCUUAGGCUUUAGGAGCUUCCUCCACAUUUUCUUCUGCCUUCCAUAAUGGAUGUGGCAAGGGUUUAUAGAAUCAACAUUAUCAUGCCGUUGUAGUAGUCGUUUAGUAAAUGUGGUGUAUGUUGUCUAUAGUUUCGAUGUGAUGUUGAGACAAUUUUUUAUGAUGCACCUUAAUGAAGAAAUAUGUUGAAUUGAAGCUCCAAGAAGCAGCAAAAGAUAGAAGUCAAAACGAUUCUGAGACUAAGAUUGGCCUUGAUCUAAGUAAAAAGAAACAAGGUUGAGGUCGGUCUUCCUCAACAGUCAAAGUGCGUCGUUCUAAAACCAAUAAUAAUUAUUGCUAAAUCUCAGUUUUGGGCUGCAGCAGUACCAGCUGCAAAAUGCAUCGGGAUGUCUUUGAUGAAAAGGCUAAGGUUAUUUAAACCAUUUGAUCUUACAUGCAACCGCUCUCCCCAGCAUCGAGGCUUUUUGUAUACUCCCUCCGUUUCAUUAUACUUGAUGUUUUAAAGAAGUUUUAUUGUUUCAUAAUA